GUCUCACCGACUCAUUGAGUAACCAACCAGCAGGUACUGAAUCAAACUGCUGACGAGAUGGUGGAGGGAGCAGGGGUGGAAGAGGAGGAGCAAGAGCAGUGGGGUGUGAAGGUCACAAGGAAGAGCCAUCCCACAGGGAUGGAGAAGCAGAGGAGGAAGGGAGGAGCAGAGGAGGAAAAGAGAUACGGGGAUGGAAGAACACUGUGGUUCACAGGACAGUGGGUGAAGAGUGAAAGCAGCUUAUGAGGACACGUUGUUGGGGCUACCUACAGUCCUACUUAGUGGGUACAGAAUCAUUAACCUGUCUGUGGGAUGUGCUGCCAGAAAACUCUGCCUGUCAUCUUCAGGAAGUUUCCCUCGCUGUCGACAACCAGUGCCACAGAGUGAUGAGCUAUUCCCUGUCUUUUUGUAUCUUUCUGAUUGUCUCUUUCCUCUUUUUACAUCACUGCCUUUCUGUAAUUGAUACAAAUAUAAAUAAACUGUUUUUAUUAUGGUAUACACUGAGUAUACAAAGCAUUAGGAACACCUUCCUAAUAUUGAGUUGCACCUCCUUUUGCCCUCAGAACAGACUCAAUUUGUCAGGGCAUGGACUAAAAUGGGUCG